CUGGUGGGUUGGGUGACCGCGGUUUUGACUUGUGCAGAAUCGAGGAAAGUCCGCACUCCAUAGAGCACGGCGCCGGGUAACACCCGGGGUGGGGAGGCCCAUAAUAGGGAUAACCUACCGGAUCGGGCCACAGAAACAAACUACCAUCUUAGAUGGCAAAGGUGAAAAGGCGGUGUAAGAGACCACCGGCGUUGGUAGUAAUACCACGGCCAGGUAACCCCCGCCGGGAGCAAGACCAAGCAGGAGCUAAACCCAAAUGGGCAGGAGGCUGCUCGCCGCCUGGGUUUCCAGGAAACUGUAAGCCAAAAGCUCCGGGUAGGUUGCUAGAGACGCGUGGUAACGCGCGCCCGAGAGAGAUGGUCACACAGAUGGAAGUCGUAUUCAAUUAGUCUUAGACCUGCUGAAUAUACCCUUUCCAUUGGACAGAAUGCGGCUUAUAGAUCCACCAGAGGU
rnacentral:RNase_P_RNA from 1 species